UACGAAGGGUGCAAACGUUGCUCGGAAUUAUUGGGCGUAAAGCGCACGUAGGCGGCUUUGCAAGUCGGAUGUGAAAUCCCUCGGCUUAACCAAGGAAGUGCAUCCGAAACUGCAGAGCUUGAGUACUUAAGAGGAUCGCGGAAUUCCCGGAUCGUAGAGGUGAAAUUCGUAGAUAUCGGGAGGAACACCAGUGGCGAAGGCGGCGAUCUGGGAAGAUACUGACGCUGAGGUGCGAAAGCGUGGGGAGCAAACAGG
rnacentral:rRNA from 1 species